rnacentral:rRNA from 1 species
CAGCUAGUUGGUAGGGUAAAAGCCUACCAAGGCAUCGAUCAGUAGCUGGUCUGAGAGGACGGCCAGCCACACUGGAACUGAGACACGGUCCAGACUCCUACGGGAGGCAGCAGUGGGGAAUUUUGGACAAUGGGCGCAAGCCUGAUCCAGCAAUGCCGCGUGAGUGAAGAAGGCCUUCGGGUUGUAAAGCUCUUUUGUCAGGGAAGAAACGGUGGGGGCUAAUAUCCCUUGCUAAUGACGGUACCUGAAGAAUAAGCACCGGCUAACUACGUGCCAGCAGCCGCGGUAAUACGUAGGGUGCAAGCGUUAAUCGGAAUUACUGGGCGUAAAGCGUGCGCAGGCGGUUUUGUAAGUCUGUCGUGAAAUCCCCGGGCUCAACCUGGGAAUGGCGAUGGAGACUGCAAGGCUAGAGUUUGGCAGAGGGGGGUAGAAUUCCACGUGUAGCAGUGAAAUGCGUAGAUAUGUGGAGGAACACCGAUGGCGAAGGCAGCCCCCUGGGUCAAAACUGACGCUCAUGCACGAAAGCGUGGGGAGCAAACAGGAUUAGAUACCCUGG